rnacentral:rRNA from 1 species
ACGUAGGGAGCAAGCGUUGUCCGGAAUCAUUGGGCGUAAAGCGCGCGUAGGUGGCCAUGUAAGUCCGCUGUGAAAGUCAAAGGCUCAACCUUUGAAAGCCGGCGGAUACUGCAUGGCUAGAGUACGGAAGAGGCGAGUGGAAUUCCUGGUGUAGCGGUGGAAUGCGCAGAUAUCAGGAGGAACACCAAUAGCGAAGGCAGCUCGCUGGGACGUUACUGACACUGAGGCGCGAAAGCUAGGGGAGCAAACAGGA